rnacentral:lncRNA from 1 species
CCGCAGGCUGGUGGAGCGCCUUGCCCGAAAGCUCAGCCCAGAAAAUCAUGCAGAGGAGGAGAACAAAGAAGAAAAAGCAUCAAUGGACCCCAGCCUGAGCACAGAGCUACAAGAAAAAGAGAGUGUGAAUGAAGCCCUGAAGGGGUCAGUGGAUGAAGGCCCUGUGACUUCUUCCAGUCACCAGUACCCGUCUGGUUCCCACGAGCCUCCCAGCACCAAUGUUUUCUUGUCUGAGGAGCACGAAGACUUCUCUGCUCUGGUUGCAGCUACUGAGUACUCCCAUCAACAGGAGAAGAAAGCUCCAACAGGUCUCCCAGAAACUCAAAAAGAUCAGAAGGAUGAGGAAAGAGAUGAGCCAACAGCCCCCAGGGAGCUGCAGGAGGAGGAGGAAAUGGAUGACGCGUGUCAGGAUUCUUUGGAUGAAAAGUAUUUGGCUCUUUCCAGUCACCAUGACUUGUCUGACUCCUGCCACCCUCCCGACAGUCCCACCAUCCCAUCUGAUGAGCACGAAAUCUGCUCUCAUCUGGAUGGAGCCCAAACUCAAAAAGAUCAGAAGGAUGAGGAAAGAGAUGAGCCAACAGCCCCCAGGGAGCUGCAGGAGGAGGAGGAAAUGGAUGAUGCGUGUCAGGAUUCUUUGGAUGAAAAGUAUUUGGCUCUUUCCAGUCACCAUGACUUGUCUGACU